AACGAACGCUGGCGGCAUGCCUAGCACAUGCAAGUCGAACGAGACCUUCGGGUCUAGUGGCGCACGGGUGCGUAACGCGUGGGAACCUGCCCUUAGGUUCGGAAUAACUCCCCGAAAGGGGUGCUAAUACCGGAUAAUGUCUUCGGACCAAAGAUUUAUCGCCUUUGGAUGGGCCCGUGUUGGAUUAGCUAGUUGGUAGGGUAAAAGCCUACCAAGGCGACGAUCCAUAGCUGGUCUGAGAGGAUGAUCAGCCACACUGGGACUGAGACACGGCCCAGACUCCUACGGGAGGCAGCAGUGGGGAAUAUUGGACAAUGGGCGAAAGCCUGAUCCAGCAAUGCCGCGUGAGUGAUGAAGGCCUUAGGGUUGUAAAGCUCUUUUACCCGGGAUGAUAAUGACAGUACCGGGAGAAUAAGCUCCGGCUAACUCCGUG
rnacentral:rRNA from 1 species